AUUGAACGCUGGCGGCAUGCCUUACACAUGCAAGUCGAACGGCAGCACGGGUGCUUGCACCUGGUGGCGAGUGGCGAACGGGUGAGUAAUACAUCGGAACAUGUCCUGUAGUGGGGGAUAGCCCGGCGAAAGCCGGAUUAAUACCGCAUACGAUCCACGGAUGAAAGUGGGGGACCUUCGGGCCUCGCGCUAUAGGGUUGGCCGAUGGCUGAUUAGCUAGUUGGUGGGGUAAAGGCCUACCAAGGCGACGAUCAGUAGCUGGUCUGAGAGGACGACCAGCCACACUGGGACUGAGACACGGCCCAGACUCCUACGGGAGGCAGCAGUGGGGAAUUUUGGACAAUGGGCGAAAGCCUGAUCCAGCAAUGCCGCGUGUGUGAAGAAGGCCUUCGGGUUGUAAAGCACUUUUGUCCGGAAAGAAAUCCUUGACUCUAAUACAGUCGGGGGAUGACGGUACCGGAAGAAUAAGCACCGGCUAACUACGUG
rnacentral:rRNA from 1 species